GAUGAACGCUGGCGGCGUGCCUAAUACAUGCAAGUCGAGCGAAUGGAUUAAGAGCUUGCUCUUAUGAAGUUAGCGGCGGACGGGUGAGUAACACGUGGGUAACCUGCCCAUAAGACUGGGAUAACUCCGGGAAACCGGGGCUAAUACCGGAUGACAUUUUGAACCGCAUGGUUCGAAAUUUAAAGGCGGCUCCGGCUGUCACUUAUGGAUGGACCCGGGUCGCAUUAGCUAGUUGGUGAGGUAACGGCUCACCAAGGCAACGAUGCGUAGCCGACCUGAGAGGGUGAUCGGCCACACUGGGACUGAGACACGGCCCAGACGCCUACGGGAGGCAGCAGUAGGGAAUCUUCCGCAAUGGACGAAAGUCUGACGGAGCAACGCCGCGUGAGUGAUGAAGGCUUUCGGGUCGUAAAACUCUGUUGUUAGGGAAGAACAAGUGCUAGUUGAAUAAGCUGGCACCUUGACGGUACCUAACCAGAAAGCCACGGCUAACUACGUGCCAGCCGCCGCAGUAAAAC
rnacentral:rRNA from 1 species